CCCUUUGCUGAUGGCGGCGAUGAUGAUAACAAUGGUGACGUAUAUACGUCCUUGACUCCGGUCUACCGCUGUGCUCUGAGGUUUGUCACUGUCUGCGGCUGCCUUCACCCACCACUGAGAACUGUAUACUAAAGCUGGCGUACUCUCCUCGACAUAUUUAAAGGGUCGCGGGGGGUGAUGCAGCCUAUCCCAGCUGUCUUCGGGCGAGAGGCGGGGUACACCCUGGACUGGUCGCCAGCCAAUCACAGGGCACAUAUAGACAAACAACCAUUCACACUCACAUUCAUACCUAUGGACAAUUUGGAGUAGCCAAUUAACCUAGCAUGUUUUUGGAAUGUGGGAGGAAACCGGAGUACCCGGAGAAAACCCACGCAUGCACGGGGAGAACAUGCAAACUCCACACAGAGAUGGCUGAGGGCGCUAACCACUCGGCCACCGUGCAGCCUUAUCUAGUUACAUAAAUGUUAAAUAAAUAAAAAAUCAAUAAGCUUCACAGUUAAAGCAGUAAGUGUAAAAAUGUAAAAAAAAAAGAGU